UACAGAGGGUGCAAGCGUUAAUCGGAAUUACUGGGCGUAAAGCGCGCGUAGGUGGUUUGUUAAGUUGGAUGUGAAAGCCCCGGGCUCAACCUGGGAACUGCAUCCAAAACUGGCAAGCUAGAGUAUGGUAGAGGGGGGUAGAAUUCCAGGUGUAGCGGUGAAAUGCGUAGAGAUCUGGAGGAAUACCGGUGGCGAAGGCGACCACCUGGACUGAUACUGACACUGAGGUGCGAAAGCGUGGGGAGCAAACAGG
rnacentral:rRNA from 1 species